rnacentral:sRNA from 1 species
AAAAAGAAACAAAAAACAAACAA